rnacentral:lncRNA from 1 species
AUUAGGAUGUCUCAGAAUAUAAAUAAUUGUCUUUCUGAACCAAUAGCUUUUUAAUGCUGGACAUGACAGGAUAUUCUAUCUCAUACUGAGUACCACGGGCUGUAGAAGAUGCAGUUUUGGGAUACACAAUCCUGCUCCCCGGGAAGGAGUUUGGGAGUUGAUGAGGAUGCUGUUUAUUUGUAGGAAAUGAUUGCUCUGAUCUCCACUCUAAUUCUAGGUGCAUUUGCUGGCGUUGUCUGAACCUGAAGUGAUGUGCAGACUUUAGCUUAGCUUUCUUUGAGGGUGAAUGGUGUCCCUGGUGCCCUGGGAUAACAUCCAGAUUUGUCCUGAAUGGUGUCUCUGUUCCUGCUUAGGAGCCUUGACUGGGUGGGUAAUGACGAAGCCCUGCUGUGCUGCUUGCCCAGAGUCCGCUCUCUCUGGGAAGCACCGAGGAGCUGGCACAGCAAACACCCUAUGUGCAGCCAGAUGAGAAAACCAGAGCAUAGAGCAGUGAUUUCCUUUUUGGACUCAGAUCACUGCUGUCCUGGCUGAGUGAAGUGAGAUUUGUUCGUUCUCAGCUGCCUGGAAAUGAUACAGCUCCCUUGUUGAUGUGUGUGACUGGAAACAAGCCCUUGCCCAGACACCCAGGAGUUCAUCCAGCAGUUUGUGGCAUCAGUCAGGUCAAAGUUGUUUGUUGGCUUUCAUAAAACUACUCUCAAAAACUAUGAAUCCUAAAAAUACCUUUUGAAAAGCCUUCUCUGAAUCUGGCUGUCCCAGAGGGAGCCAAAGGGCCCUUAUUCCUAAAACUGCAGUUAAUCCAUGCUGCACAGUUGGAGAGAGGGAAUGAGGGACAUCUUGGAAAAAUAACGUUAAGUCCUUGGAGCAGAAAGAUGCUUAAACCUGACUGCCACAAUGGUAAAGAUGGACUCCAGCUCAAUCAAAGGACAUUUCUUUGACUUGCCCAAUUCCUGCCUGCACUUAAACAUCUCUGUUGGGUUUCCUACAGUAACUGAAGACAGAGGAACUUGUAAAUUCAACUCUCAAUCUUGGAACCUUUGACGUCCCUCAGCCCUCUGCAAACCUCCCCCAGCUGAUGUCCAUGCCCCAACCAUUGUAUUUGGCAGUAGAGGGGCAGAGUUAACUUUUCUAUCAGCUUUGAACGGAACCAUUUUGUUUUUUAUUAGGAGGAGCCCGUUGGUGCCAAACUAUCUGACUAACAGAGCCCUGCUUGAGCAGUCCUUGCUGUGGAGAGAGCACAAUAAUAUUUUCCAAAUUUCUUGAAGGGAGCUCAAAGCCCUGGUCUCCUAGGGCAUGAGCAAUUCAGAUGCACCAUCAUUCCAUGUGUGAGUUUCUGGGAGACAGUGGGAUUUAGGCGAAUAUUUAUUUAUGGGUUUCCUUUUGCCUAUUUUGAGCAGUUUCUAGGUUGGUGAGUUGUCGUCCAUGCCUCGCUUGGAUGGUCGUUAUUUUAGGAACUGACAUUCAGUCCUUGGAGCUGUGAGAUCUCACAGUGACCCUCAUGUCACUGUCCUUAGGGGGGUUCCAGCUCUCCAUCCCCAUGGCUUGCCCAGCUGAGCUCCCUCUGG